rnacentral:tRNA from 21 species
GCGUCCAUUGUCUAAUGGAUAGGACAAAGGUCUUCUAAACCUUUAGUAUAGGUUCAAAUCCUAUUGGACGCA